GCACCUUCGGUGUCCGAGUUGUAAUUUGAAGAAGGUAACCUUGGGGUUGGCUCUUGUCUAUGUUUCUUGGAACAGAACGUCACAGAGGGUGAGAAUCCCGUGCGAUGAGAUGCCCAAUUCUAUGUAAGGUGCUUUCGAAGAGUCGAGUUGUUUGGGAAUGCAGCUCUAAGUGGGUGGUAAAUUCCAUCUAAAGCUAAAUAUUGGCGAGAGACCGAUAGCGAACAAGUACAGUGAUGGAAAGAUGAAAAGAACUUUGAAAAGAGAGUGAAAAAGUACGUGAAAUUGUUGAAAGGGAAGGGUAUGAGAUCAGACUUGGUGUUUUGCAACCUUACUCUCGGGUGGGGCCCCUGCAGUUCAUCGGGCCAGCAUCAGUUUGGAUGGUAGGAUAAUGGCAUUGGAAUGUAGCUUGGCUUCGGUUAAGUGUUAUAGCCUUUGUUGAUACUGCCUGUCUAGACUGAGGACUGCGUCUUUGACUAGGAUGCUGGCAUAAU
rnacentral:rRNA from 1 species